ACUGGGGCAGUGUUUGCGACCCAGACAAUGGAACGGCAGGGGUUAGUUCCAGGCAUCCUCGCAUGCCAGCCAUUCUUUAUGACAAUGGCGAGCAGGUGGAGCGCCUUCCAGGAGGGCUUCCGCGAAGGGGCGGCUGUAACCAGGAGCUGGCCGGUGCGCACAGACCAACGCGCUCCCACCGCGACUCCUCCUCCAGCUGCCUGUGGAUCAGCUUCCGCGGGAGCCCCCACCUCCCAUCAUUCCCAUGAAGAAUCGCGAUCCGCACUGAGUGAGAAAAGCAAAAGGAAUCCUCCUGAGCCUCUGGAAUGGCAGGGGUGCAUCGCUGAGAGUUCAGCUUUAACGCUGAUGAAAUGGUCGAUGGCCAGGUUCUGAGGCUGCGUUGGGAAGACUGGUCUUCAUCUGUACUCUCAUUCACCCUCAGGAGUCUGGCUCUUCAGGGUGAGCAGAUCCGGCAUGGAGCACAGCAGCAUUGAACUUGUUUAGCAAGUCUCAUCUAGAGCAGCCUGGCCAGGUGCUGCGGUGCACGCCUCGAACCCCGUCCCCUGGGAGGCUGAGGUCAGCCUGGGCAACUUAGCAAGACCCUGUCUCAAAACAAAAUACGAAGGAACAGGCUGGGAAUGUAGCUCGGAAGGAGAGGGAUUACCUGGCCUGUGUGAGGUUCACCUCUAGAUUCCACUUGGGGGACCAACCUUUAACACAUGAGCUUUGGGGGCUCAUUUCAGAUCCAAACCAUGACAAACACCAAAGUGGAAUAGACUGUAAACAGGAACUUUUGAGCAUAGCACAGUACUAACCAGGGAGGUAGAUUCAGGAUCUCCCUGAAAAAAAAAAUGAGAGAUGGCAUGAUUUCCCCUCCUUAAAUUCCUGGUCAGAUCAACUCCACCCAUAUAUUGCUCACAUAAAUACUUCUCUGCUCAGUGAAAGAAGCGGACCUUUUUAAUGAUGAGAGAUUAAUUGUCCAUAACUGACACAUUAAGAUCCAAACAUUCAAUGUUAAUCAGAGCUGUUAAGAAAACCAUUUCAGACUUCUUUUUCACACAAACAGCUCAUCAGCACUAAAAUGGGCAUGACUGAUCUAGCCCCAAAACACUCAAAGGCAAGGCUCGCCUGCAGAAGUCAUCUCAGAGACAUUCCAGAAGGAUUGUGCAUCCUACACACGGCAGCAUGAAAGGGUUUGGCCAGAGUGGAAGUUAACAGCUGUCCUGUGAAGCAUCUCAUGCUUGAAAGCUAGGGACAUUAUUCUGGAACUCUGGGAAAGGAUGAAGGAUGGAGCUUUAACCGUCAGAUAACACUUGAUUUUUCCAGAAUUAUCAGAAUUCCUGGAGAUGGAAAGAGGAAGGUUUGCAAUUAAAUCAUAGAAUCGGAAAUACUGAAGUCCUUGGGCAGAGGUGGGAGAGGUGAAUACUUCACUAAAUUCAAGGGUGUGCCUGUUCAUCAUUCAUCGGGACCAUGCAUCACCCCUGCUUCACCUACAGGAGAAGCGGAAUCAGCCUGCGGGAAGAGCGCUGCUGUCUGGGUACACCCACUGUGAAGCUCGGGUUGGAACCACCUCUUUGUAGUAUUAGUCAGACACCCAUUGUUCUUCAGAUGAAUGCCCAUUCAUUCCUGCUAUGUGACCACUGAAGUCUCAAAGUCCUAACUUAGUGCCUUGCAGACUUAAUGAUCUUCCACUGGAUCUCUGUGGGUUAGGAGGCAGCAUGCUAUACUCAACUAGGAAGAAGAGCUGUUCCCAGUAGGGAGAGAGAGAUCUGCUGUCAACAUGGGUCUGUAAGGACACUAUCAACAAAUACAUUAGGGCUGGGGAGAUAGCUCAGUCAGUAGAGUGCUUGACUUGCAAGCACAAGGCCCUGGGUUCAACCCCCAGUACCGCAAAAACAAACAAACAAACAAAAAACAUUAAAUGGCUAUAAGGAGGAAGCUUGUGUUAGUCAAAGUCCUCCAAGAAUCAGACAUCAACUCAGGAUUAAAUGUGGGGGGAAUGAGGAGAUCAGGCAUAAGGCCUAGAGAUCCUGGAGUCCUGAGAAGUCAGAAGAAGGCCCAGCAAAGCUACCCUGUCGUCUGGAAGCCACAGACAGCUACCAGGGGUGGAGCAUGCCCCCAGAAGCCCUGCUGCGCUCCCCGGUGCCUGGCACCACCUGCCCUUGAGAGGCAGUGUCUCAGCACAAUACCGGGUGGAGUUCAAGGCCCCGCUGCUGGUCAAUGGCCUGCCCUAAGAGUCUUUUGAGGCAUAGCCUUGUGUUUGUCCCAAAGCUGCCUACAAAUCAAAAUGCCACUUGUACUGAGAAGAGGGUGGUUUGUGGUUACGAGAUAAAUUAAGUGUACGCUGGGAGUCUGUGAAAAACAAAGACACAAACCAUGCUUUGAAAGAAGUAAGAAAGUGAGCCGGGAAGUGGUGGGGUGGGUUUCUUGCCCCGUACGAUGAGCGUAGUCCACCAGUGUGCUGACUUGACCCACAAACCAAGCCCAACAGGCGCCCACCAGCUGUCUGACCACAGAAGUCGAGAUUUGUUGACUAAUACUAACAAUAGUUACGGUCUGGACGUCAGCCUCAAUAUAUGAGGAGAUUGGAUUUUAGCAGAUGUUGGAUUUUAGAAAAUUUCCCCCAAAGAAAAAUUCAUCUGUUUGACUCUAUUGCUCUAGAUGGAGUGUGAAU